UACGAAGGGGGCUAGCGUUAUUCGGAAUUACUGGGCGUAAAGCGCACGUAGGCGGCUUUGUAAGUAAGAGGUGAAAGCCCGGAGCUCAACUCCGGAACUGCCUUUUAGACUGCAUCGCUUGAAUCCAGGAGAGGUGAGUGGAAUUCCGAGUGUAGAGGUGAAAUUCGUAGAUAUUGGGAAGAACACCGGUGGCGAAGGCGGCGACCUGGUCCGACACUGACGCUGAGGCGCGAAAGCGUGGGGAGCAAACAGG
rnacentral:rRNA from 1 species